rnacentral:rRNA from 1 species
UACGGGGGGGGCAAGCGUUGUUCGGAAUUACUGGGCGUAAAGGGCUCGUAGGCGGCCAACUAAGUCGGACGUGAAAUCCCCAGGCUCAACCUCGGGCCUGCAGUCGAUACGGGCAAACUAGAGUACUGCAGGGGAGACUGGAAUUCCUGGUGUAGCGGUGAAAUGCGCAGAUAUCAGGAGGAACACCGGUGGCGAAGGCGGGUCUCUGGGCAGUAACUGACGCUGAGGAGCGAAAGCGUGGGGAGCGAACAGG